UACGUAGGGUGCAAGCGUUGUCCGGAAUUAUUUGGGGCGUAAAGAGCUUGUAGGCGGUUUGUCGCGUCUGCUGUGAAAUUUCGGGGCUCAACCCCGAACUUGCAGUGGGUACGGGCAGACUAGAGUGUGGUAGGGGAGACUGGAAUUCCUGGUGUAGCGGUGAAAUGCGUAAUAUCGGGAGGAACACCUGUGGCGAAGGCGGCCCCCUGGUUGGAUACUGACGCUGAUACGC
rnacentral:rRNA from 1 species